AUGCGGAUGGAGAGUCCAAAAUAGGAUGAAAUGCGCAUCCUGAAU
rnacentral:hammerhead_ribozyme from 1 species